UACAGAGGGUGCAAGCGUUAAUCGGAAUUACUGGGCGUAAAGCGUGCGUAGACGGUUAUGUAAGUCAGGUGUGAAAGCCCAGGGCUCAACUUGGAAGUUGCAUUUGAGACUGCAUAGCUAGGGUGCGGAAGAGGGAAGCGGAAUUUCCGGUGUAGCGGUGAAAUGCGUAGAUAUCGGAAGGAACACCAGUGGCGAAAAGCGGCUUCCUGGUC
rnacentral:rRNA from 1 species